rnacentral:rRNA from 1 species
UACUGAGUACUACACUCUCUACCCUUUGUGAACUAUUAUACCUGUUGCUUCGGCGGCGCCCGCAAGGGUGCCCGCCGGUCUCAUCAGAAUCUCUGUUUUCGAACCCGACGAUACUUCUGAGUGUUCUUAGCGAACUGUCAAAACUUUUAACAACGGAUCUCUUGGCUCCAGCAUCGAUGAAGAACGCAGCGAAACGCGAUAUGUAAUGUGAAUUGCAGAAUUCAGUGAAUCAUCGAAUCUUUGAACGCACAUGGCGCCUUCCAGUAUCCUGGGAGGCAUGCCUGUCCGAGCGUCGUUUCAACCCUCGAGCCCCUGUGGCCCGGCGUUGGGGAUCUGCCACGGCAGGCCCCUAAAACCAGUGGCGGACCCGAAGGGCCCUCUCCUUUGCGCAGUAGCAUUCGCCUCGCAUCGGGAGUCCUCGGCGUCCUGCCUCUAAACCCCCCACAAGCCCGCUUCGGCGGCACCAAGGUUGACCUCGGAUCAGGUAGGAAUACCCGCUGAACUUAAGCAUAUCAAUAAGCGGAGGAAAAGAAACCAACAGGGAUUGCCUCAGUAACGGCGAGUGAAGCGGCAACAGCUCAAAUUUGAAAUCUGGCUCCUUCGGGGUCCGAGUUGUAAUUUGCAGAGGAUGCGUCGGGUACGGGUCCCUACCGAGUUCCCUGGAACGGGACGCCAUAGAGGGUGAGAGCCCCGUCUGGUAGGAUACCCAGCCCAUGUGACGCUCCCUCGACGAGUCGAGUAGUUUGGGAAUGCUGCUCUAACGGGAGGUAUACUCCUUCCAAAGCUAAA